UAUCAUAAACCUGAGAAGAAUCGUGAUUCUCAAACUUCACCUUGGAAUUAAAAUGGAUUUCCUUGAGAAGCACAUAUGAGGUAAGCUGAAGAAGCAAUUCAUCACUCCAUCAACUGGUUUUACUGAAUCGAAGCACAGAGAAUGUCCACAGUCACAGUGACUGUAGUGAUUUUCUAAAGCUGCAAUCUCAGUACAGUUUUACUUUGUUGUGUACAACCUUCAUUAUACUCAUUACUCCAUUCUGGAGAAUAUUUUAUAAUCACCAUUAAAGUUUUCAUUGGCAGGAUGUGUCUCUGUUCCUACUGCUUUUUUUUUUUUUUUAUCCAGUAAGAGGGAAACGAUUAUCUCAUUUCUUAGGGGAUAUAAUUGGUCUAUACCAAUAAUUUCACUUAAUGGUUUCACUACCUGGUAGAUUGUUG
rnacentral:lncRNA from 1 species